rnacentral:tRNA from 2 species
UCCCCGGUAGCUCAAUCGGCAGAGCGGAUGACUGUUAAUCAUUAGGUUGGGUGUUCGAGUCACCCCCGGGGAGCCA